rnacentral:rRNA from 1 species
GACGAACGCUGGCGGCGUGCUUAACACAUGCAAGUCGAGCGAUGAAGUUCCUUCGGGAAUGGAUUAGCGGCGGACGGGUGAGUAACACGUGGGUAACCUGCCUCAUAGAGGGGAAUAGCCUUUCGAAAGGAAGAUUAAUACCGCAUAAGAUUGUAGCUUCGCAUGAAGCAGCAAUUAAAGGAGUAAUCCGCUAUGAGAUGGACCCGCGUCGCAUUAGCUAGUUGAUGAGGUAACGGCUCACCAAGGCGACGAUGCGUAGCCGACCUGAGAGGGUGAUCGGCCACAUUGGGACUGAGACACGGCCCAGACUCCUACGGGAGGCAGCAGUGGGGAAUAUUGCACAAUGGGGGAAACCCUGAUGCAGCAACGCCGCGUGAGUGAUGACGGUCUUCGGAUUGUAAAACUCUGUCUUCAGGGACGAUAAUGACGGUACCUGAGGAGGAAGCCACGGCUAACUACGUGCCAGCCGCCGCCGUAACAC